UACGUAGGGUGCAAGCGUUGUCCGGAAUUAUUGGGCGUAAAGAGCUCGUAGGCGGUUUGUCGCGUCUGUCGUGAAAGUCCGGGGCUCAACUCCGGAUCUGCAGUGGGUACGGGGCAGACUAGAGUGUGGUAGGGGAGACUGGAAUUCCUGGUGUAGCGGUGGAAUGCGCAGAUAUCAGGAGGAACACCGGUGGCGAAGGCGGGUCUCUGGGCAGUAACUGACGCUGAGGAGCGAAAGCGUGGGGGAGCGAACAGG
rnacentral:rRNA from 1 species